CUAGAAGGAAGCUGUCUGAUUGAAAGGAAAGAAACUAAUCGGAAGCCAAAGAACUACCUCCAAAACCAUCAUCAAGGCCACAGCCAUCACGCCCACCUGUGCAGCUGAAUGCCGGCUCCCAGAGUAAUAGAAAUGAAUAUAAGCUAUAUCCUGAGCUUUCUAGCUAUCAUGAGAAAACUGGUACUUUCCAUGUAGCCAUUCCCACACUGAAUCCUCACCGCUGACCCGGGAUAAGACAGCUGUGCAGAUAUCAGCAGUGAGGAAGCAUGGCUGUGAUACUACAACGCUGGGCAGGGAUAGAGCAAGCCUGUAACCUGGGUCCAACCCACAAGGAGCUCCACUCGGCCCAAGAUGGUUCUUACCCACUAUUCACUAAGAGCUUUAUAACCCAUCUCUGAUCUCGAAUUAAGUUAUACAUUGUUACACAUAACGUUUGUUUCAAGCUGAAUAGCAUUAAUGGACCUGCACACUAAGGAGUCAAAGGUCAGUUAUGGAGCUUGGCCAGAAUGCAGCAUUUCCCUGUGGCUGUUGCCCCCAGUUUCUUUGUUUGGCUUUCCUUGGUGAUGGGCCAUACAUAACCUGUAAGAUUAAAUAAACCCUUCUCUCCCC
rnacentral:lncRNA from 1 species